UCAGAUCAGCCAUUUUGAUGUUAAUGGGCACACCAUUAGGGUUCCUGUGAAAAUUUCCUCCAUGAACACAGAGUACCCUCUCAAUGUCCUCAUAGUUUGAACACUCCCUAAUAUUUAGUGCAUAUUGGCAUUGCUCGCCAACCCACUCAGUACCCAAGAAGCUGUUAAUAGUUUCAGGGUCAUAUCUGAUUAUCUACCCCCAAACAAAACUAAUAUACCUCUCCAUGUUCACUCCUCUGAACAAGGCAUUAGUAUAGAACUCCUUCACCACUUCAAUGUUAGCUGGGGCAGGGUACGUGGCCAACUUCUCCCAGUUCCAACUUUCCAACUCUUCACCAAAUUGAGGAGCCAAAUUUGGAAUCCAUAUGGCCUUUCUCUCCAUCGGCAAUCUCCUUUCUUGAACCCCUAGGAAGUGUUGCUCAUGUUUUCUAGAAAGGAACUUGUGAGAAUAAAAUCUCUGUGGCAUCUCUAGC
rnacentral:lncRNA from 1 species